GCGGGCUGAUGUCUGCGGUUUAUGGUCACGUUGCCUUGAUGUCUGCUUUUUAGGCAGCCUUUGGUCUACGACUAUGGCGCACAUGUAACGUUUACAAAUGUGAAAUCGUCGGUGAAAUACUCUGUGAAAUAACACAUUUUGUUAUAUCAAUAUUGAUAUAAUUAUACGGCCAUGGUUGAUAUGUGUAACGUGAAUAUGUGUGAAAUGUGAAUAUACUUUAUGUAAUAUGUGAAGAAGAUCAUAGCCUUGAUUAUAUCAAUAGAUAUCGUGGUGACGAGUAUCUUGAAGAGUUUUGGUGACAGUGUUGGUGACAAGUCAAAGAAAUUAUUCCUGCUCAUCAUGCCAAAACUGAGGGACAGAGGAUCGCUAUCUGCGCCCAGACUGGAACAUGAGGUGGAAAGUGCGAGCACUGGAACUGGCGGGAUAGCGCGAUGGAGUAGGCAGGAGGCGGACGCUUUGGUCAGUGCCAUCAAGAAGUAUGGCACUGCUUCAUUGGACCAGUUGCAGAAGGCUGUUCCCCGCCGCUCUCUAGAUCAGGUCCGGGCCCGGCUGAAGCACGUGCGCCGGCUGAGCCGGUCGACGCCGCCGGCGGCGAGCUGCGGCUCCCUGGACGACUGGCUGGGCCGCAUCAGCCGCGCCCUGCCGGUGCGGCCGGGCGGCGGCUUCGGGCCGCGCCGGGACCUGGCCGCCCUCUCGGUGCCGCUGCAGCUGGCCGCCGCCGGGGAGCGCGACCAGGCCGCCCUCCACCAGCGCCAGGACUUCAGCGAGGUCUACUCCUACCUGGCCCACCUCGUCAACGGCACGAUCCCGCCCCAGCCGAGCGCGGCCACCAGCGGCCGGCUGCUCACGCUGAUGCAGCACCUGGCGGCGCUUCUGCAGAGCGUCCACCUGGACCGUCACCGUCAGUGGCUGUGGCAGAACGAGCGCAUCCGGCGGCUCGAGCAGGCCUGGGUCGGCGCCGAGGAGGCGGAGUCGGGCGCGCCGGCGCCGCGGCAGCUGACCGACCUGUCGCUGGUGCCGGCCGAGCUGCGCGGCGCACUGGCGCACCUGGCCGCCGCGCCCGCCAACUGUCUGCACAUCCCGCCGGCGCUGCUGCUCAGCCCGCUGUCGGUCAAACUGCGCGAGCGCGUGGGCGCCCAGCAGCACCCGCUGCUCGGCCAGCCGAUGCACGAGCUGCUGGCGCACGCCGACCUGCGUGGCUGGCCCGCCGGCGCCCUCUACGAGAGCGCUAGUGAACAGCGCAAGAGAGAGGGAACAUACUUGAAGAAGAAGAAGAAGGGGACGUUGGCGGCUCAGGCACCUGCCUCCAGCGCAUGUGCCCAGACAUCUACCCAGACAUCUACCCAGACAUCCACCCAGACAUCCACCCAGACAUCUACCCAGACAUCCACCCAGCCAGCCGGCCAGAGACCCGUGGAGGCAGCUUUACAGCCCGCUCAACAAACACCUACACAGCCAGUGGUACAGAGAUCUGCGGAGUCACCUGCCGCGCAGCCAGCUGCCCCCACACCUGGGCGGAUAUCUGCCGAGGAGUCUGUGGCCGCCACCCGUCCGGAGCAGCGGUCAGAGCUGGGGCUGGCGGCCCCGGGAACCUGCGAGCCGUGCCUUGCCGACCCCUGCGGCAGCAUCUCCUCCCGUGGAGGGUCUCCUGCUGGCCCGCCCGCGGUCGCGUCUGAUCAGGCAGGAGUCGCCGCGGCGCCCUCCUUCCGUCCGUUCGCCACCCGAGCCGCGGGCGCCCCGCGCACCUACUCACGAAAACGCCCGCUGCCGCAGCAGUGAGGCGGCCACCGGCGCGGCGCGGCCUCGAGCUGACCCGAGCUCGGCCCCGUGGUGACAUGCGAGUGGAGGGUGUGUCACUGAGGCGGACUCAGAAAACAGUCUGAGCUUGGAUUAUCGGAGAUGGGGGGAUGUCUUGUUACCUACGUGAGAGACCCCUGGAUAGUCAUUCACGGAACAACACGUGACUUGGGCAGCGCAUACCGCCCUCGUGGCUCAGAAUAGGAUAAGUGCACUUCAGGAGUCUGAUCUGAUUGUUUUUGCGUUCUCUCGGCGAGUGUGUGGUCAAAGCAUCUGGCUGUUCCGCGGAGUGGUGGUAUUAGCGGCGCUCUGGGCCGGCGGACAGUGCCGUUGAUCGUCUGUAUCAGGUGCGGCGCUGUGAUAGGGCUGUUCGCAGCGCCGGGACCGUGGCCGGCGUGUGGAUCUGUCGGGGGGGGGGGGGGGGAUCGACACGGGUCGCCGGCCGGCAGCGGGUGAUGGGCCAGUGCCGCGGCGGCCGGCCGUAUUAGGCGGGCUCUCGGAGACUGACCGAGAGCUAACGGAACGGCCAGUGUCAUUGAUCUCAGCCGCACGUCACUGCCGCCUUCAGGCCCGGCGUCUGUCGAGAAUGGGGUGUGUCUGCUUCGAACGGCGCCGCCACUCACGGGUGUCUGUGAUAAAACCCGCCCGCUACUGCAGCGCAGCCGACGGGUGCCCAAUGUGAACGACUGAAGUCUGGUGUUAACUGUGCGGCAGUCUGUGAUUUGGACCGUGCUCCGCGUCCCAGGCAGAGCGCCGGGGACCUGUCUGAUGUGAUACACGAUACCUGCCGGCAAGACCGAUUUAGUGUCCGCCACCGCCUUCUAGGAACACUGAGACUGGUGCGGCGUUUUCCGGUCUGUCAACCUGUGUUUGGUGACCUUCUCGCUUUUGAUCUUCUCCGCACGUUGUUGCUCGUGUGCUAGGCAGUCAGCUAGCCGCGUGACCGACUGCGUCACUAAGUGCCCUGUUUCAGUGUUCAGUAGGUAUGCCUUGUUUCGAGCUGUGUUAGAGCCAUUGUCAGGCUGUGACACCCAAACUGCCCCCGUGUCAGCCUGUUGCCUAGUGUGUGGGAUAGGCAGGUUGACGCACCUCUAUAGUGUAUCGCCUCUUUCGGGCAUUGUCCGUUCAUGUCGCGUUCUGAUGAGGCGGUAAUGCCGUGGACCGAGUGUGGUUCCGUAAUGUUCAUUUGUAGUCUGAUCAUUGAGCCUUGUGUCAUACCUCGCUGAAAAUAAAGUCAAGAAGCAACGU
rnacentral:misc_RNA from 1 species